ACUCCUACGGGAGGCAGCAGUGGGGAAUAUUGCACAAUGGGCGCAAGCCUGAUGCAGCCAUGCCGCGUGUGUGAAGAAGGCCUUCGGGUUGUAAAAGCACUUUCAGUGGGGAGGAAAGGAUUGUUGGUUAAUACCUAACAGCUGUGACGUUACCCACAGAAGAAGCACCGGCUAACUCCGUGCCAGCAGCCGCGGUAAUACGGAGGGUGCAAGCGUUAAUCGGAAUUACUGGGCGUAAAGCGUGCGCAGGCGGUCUGUUAAGCGAGAUGUGAAAGCCCGGC
rnacentral:rRNA from 1 species